rnacentral:rRNA from 1 species
CUACGGGUCGCACCAGUGAGGAAUAUUGCACAAUGGGGGGAACCCUGAUGCAGCAACGCCGCGUGGAGGAUGACGCAUUUCGGUGUGUAAACUCCUUUUAUAUGUCAAGAAAAUGACGGUAGCAUAUGAAUAAGCACCGGCUAACUCCGUGCCAGCAGCCGCGGUAAUACGGAGGGUGCAAGCGUUACUCGGAAUCACUGGGCGUAAAGGACGCGUAGGCGGGUUGGAAAGUCAGGUGUGAAAUCCUACAGCUUAACUGUAGAACUGCACUUGAAGCUUCUAAUCUAGAGGAUGGGAGGGGGAGAUGGAAUUAGUGGUGUAGGGGUAAAAUCCGUAGAUAUCACUAGGAAUACCUAAAGCGAAGGCGAUCUCCUGGAACAUUACUGACGCUAAGGCGUGAAAGCGUGGGGAGCAAACAGGAUUAGAUACCCUUGUAGUC